AUUGAACGCUGGCGGAAUGCUUUACACAUGCAAGUCGAGCGGCAGCGCGGGGCAACCUGGCGGCGAGCGGCGAACGGGUGAGUAAUGCAUCGGAACGUACCCAGUCGUGGGGGAUAACUGUCCGAAAGGACAGCUAAUACCGCAUACGUCCUGAGGGAGAAAGCGGGGGAUCGCAAGACCUCGCGCGAUUGGAGCGGCCGAUGCCGGAUUAGCUAGUUGGUAGGGUAAAGGCCUACCAAGGCGACGAUCCGUAGCUGGUCUGAGAGGACGACCAGCCACACUGGAACUGAGACACGGUCCAGACUCCUACGGGAGGCAGCAGUGGGGAAUUUUGGACAAUGGGGGCAACCCUGAUCCAGCCAUUCCGCGUGAGUGAAGAAGGCCUCGGUUGUAAGUACGUACUUUCUAGUCAGGAAGGAAACGAAGUAAGACCGGUUAACGUU
rnacentral:rRNA from 1 species